AAUGAACGCUGGCGGCAGGCCUAACACAUGCAAGUCGAGCGGAUGAAGGGAGCUUGCUCCUGGAUUCAGCGGCGGACGGGUGAGUAAUGCCUAGGAAGCUGCCUGGUAGUGGGGGAUAACGUCCGUAAACGGGCGCUAAUACCGCAUACGUCCUGAGGGAGAAAGUGGGGGAUCUUCGGACCUCACGCUACCAGAUGAGCCUAGGUCGGAUUAGCUAGUUGGUGGGGUAAAGGCCUACCAAGGCGACGAUCCGUAACUGAUCUGAGAGGAUGAUCAGUCACACUGGAACUGAGACACGGUCCAGACUCCUACGGGAGGCAGCAGUAGGGAAUAUUGGACAAUGGGCGAAAGCCUGAUCCAGCAAUGCCGCGUGUGUGAAGAAGGUCUUCGGAUUGUAAAGCACUUUUAGUUGGGAGGAAGAGCAGUAAGUUAAUCCCUUGCUGUUUUGACGUUACCAACAGAAUAAGCACCGGCUAACUUCGUG
rnacentral:rRNA from 1 species